rnacentral:rRNA from 1 species
GAUUAACGCUGGCGGCGUGCCUAACACAUGCAAGUCGAACGAGGUAGCAAUACCUAGUGGCAGACGGGUGAGUAACGCGUGGUCAACCUACCCUAGAGUGGGGAGUAACUAGCCGAAAGGUUAGCUAAUACCGCAUGAAACGUGCCGGGGCGAUCUCGGAAUGUUGAAAGGAGCAAUCCGCUCAAGGACGGGACCGCGUCCCAUUAGCUAGUUGGUGGGGUAACGGCCUACCAAGGCACCGAGGGUAGCUGGUUUGAGAGAGCGACCAGCCACACUGGGACUGAGAAACGGCCCAGACUCCUACGGGAGGCAGCAGUGAGGAAUUUUCCGCAAUGGGCGAAAGCCUGACGGAGCGACGCCGCGUGUGGGAAGAAGGCCUU